rnacentral:rRNA from 1 species
GUAGGGAAUCUUCGGCAAUGGACGAAAGUCUGACCGAGCAACGCCGCGUGAGUGAAGAAGGUUUUCGGAUCGUAAAACUCUGUUGUUAGAGAAGAAUGUUGAUUAGAGUGGAAAAUUAAUCAAGUGACGGUAUCUAACCAGAAAGGGACGGCUAACUACGUGCCAGCAGCCGCGGUAAUACGUAGGUCCCGAGCGUUGUCCGGAUUUAUUGGGCGUAAAGCGAGCGCAGGUGGUUUAAUAAGUCUGAUGUAAAAGGCAGUGGCUCAACCAUUGUGUGCAUUGGAAACUGUUAGACUUGAGUGCAGUAGAGGAGAGUGGAAUUCCAUGUGUAGCGGUGAAAUGCGUAGAUAUAUGGAGGAACACCGGUGGCGAAAGCGGCUCUCUGGACUGUCACUGACACUGAGGCUCGAAAGCGUGGGUAGCAAACAGGAUUAGAUACCCCUGUAGUCC